AUUGAACGCUGGCGGCAGGCCUAACACAUGCAAGUCGAGCGGAUGAAGGGAGCUUGCUCCUGGAUUCAGCGGCGGACGGGUGAGUAAUGCCUAGGAAUCUGCCUGGUAGUGGGGGAUAACGUCCGGAAACGGGCGCUAAUACCGCAUACGUCCUGAGGGAGAAAGUGGGGGAUCUUCGGACCUCACGCUACCAGAUGAGCCUAGGUCGGAUUAGCUAGUUGGUGGGGUAAAGGCCUACCAAGGCGACGAUCCGUAACUGGUCUGAGAGGAUGAUCAGUCACACUGGAGCUGAGACACGGUCCAGACUCCUACGGGAGGCAGCAGUGGGGAAUAUUGGACAAUGGGCGAAAGCCUGAUCCAGCCAUGCCGCGUGUGUGAAGAAGGUCUUCGGAUUGUAAAGCACUUUAAGUUGGGAGGAAGGGCAGUAAGUUAAUACCUUGCUGUUUUGACGUUACCAACAGAAUAAGCACCGGCUAACUUCGUG
rnacentral:rRNA from 1 species